CACAAUAUUCGUGUUAUAGGAACGGGCAAUAAUGUGCAGACAACUGAUGGUUCUCCUGGUGGUGGUGGCGGUGAUGCUGGGACUCGCCUAUGCCUUCCCCAGCGUUACCCCUGCCAGCCUCCCUGCCGGCGUAUCUUCUCGAGACUGCCCCAACUUCCCCUUUUUCCCCUGCACCCCUCCUGCCCAAGCUGCUCAGCCUGCUAACCCCUCUGGAGUGACCUGUUUCAACUUCCCCUUCUUCCCUUGCUAAGCCAUUUUAUACAUGUUGUAUUGUUUUUUUUGUUUGUUUGUUUUUUUCUUCUUCUGAUUGUCAUUGUGAUACUUUUUGUUUAUAAGUGUGUGUGUAUUGUUGAUGUCUGACAUCACGUCAAGCAAGAAAAUGAUUUUUCGUAAGAGAAAAGAAAAGAAAAACGAAAUUAUAGAGAAUAGCAAGUGAUUAUCACAUGAUAUUUGAUACAAAGACUUUGUUGAUUCUUACUCAUUGAGCAGAAGUUCCUUUGUUUAGCUUUUGUCAUUUCUUUAUUAUUUGUUUUAUCACUUCCUAACUGCGAUUUUUUUCUUUCUUUGAAUGUACUUCAAAUAUAUUUUUGCCUGACUGUCAUACGAGUAAUUCCUGAUGGAAUUCACAAUAAAACAGUAAUACAAUAAAUGAUAACAAACACA
rnacentral:lncRNA from 1 species